rnacentral:SRP_RNA from 1 species
CCGUGCUAGACGGGGAGGUAGCGGUGCCCUGUACCUGCAACCCGCUAUAGCAGGGUCGAAUCCCGUCUUUGAGGCGGUUUUUUGUAGCACCGGCGCCGGUAAGUGGCGUUGAAGGCCGGGUCCUGUGCGACGGAGACCGGUGAACCCCGCCAGGUCCGGAAGGAAGCAACGGUAAGCCGGAGACUUCGGGUGCCGCAGGGCAGCCUGGCUGGAGCCAACUGCCGGGGUACGACUGGAAAGAGCCGUCGAUGGGCGGUGCACGG